UUUCAAUAUCUCUUCCAUUUUUUAAUUAUUUCAAAUAAAAAUAUAUAAAAAUCUGUUUUAACAUUUUUAAUAUCACCUUUUAUCUAUCCUCGAGAUUGUAGUAUUUUCAGAUUUUUCUUCUUCUCGUUAGAUACAUUAAUUUUAAUCUUUCCGGCCUUUUAAAACUUAGCGAAGCAAAAUAUUUUAUUCAAAUUAAUAUUAUAUAUUGUACAUAUAAUAAUUGAAUUAUUAUAAUUAUUGCAUAGAUAUUUUUUUCGGAUACUACUCUUGGAAGAUUUAAGUUUUCAGGUACCACGGAUCGAGUGAGGGGUGAAAAUGGAUAAGAACAACGAGUUAAAAGUCAAAUUAAAAUAUAAAAGUAAUGAGAGAAUAAUUUUAUCUGCCUGCAUGGAAACAUGAAAUACAAUAUAAUUAAAUAAACAAUUAGACGGAAUAAUUAUAAUGCUAUGAGAUGCUCGAAUUGAAUACUUUUUUAAUAAAAUAAAAACGAAAUAAAAUAGCUGAUGCUUAUGAAAUUAAUUUACGAACAUUUAACAUGGAAUAUCGAUCAAAGAAAUGAUGGAAAAUUGAUAUAAACAAUUGUAAAAUUUAUUGAAAUAAUUAUAAUUCUCAUCCAGAAAGCAUGAUGGAAAAAAAAGAAAUAUAAAUUAAUUGCGGGUUUCAUCAGAGCUGUUCACCAUAAAUAGAGGGAAAUCCCUUCUGGAAGGAGUAUGCUAAUCACGAGUAGUAUACUACUGAACCUGACGAUUGAAUUAUGUGAAAUGAUGAACGAGAUGAUACGAAUAAUAAUA
rnacentral:lncRNA from 1 species